rnacentral:rRNA from 1 species
GACGAACGCUGGCGGCGUGCUUAACACAUGCAAGUCGAACGGAAAGGCCCUGCUGUUGUGGGGUGCUCGAGUGGCGAACGGGUGAGUAACACGUGAGUAACCUGCCCUUGACUUUGGGAUAACUUCAGGAAACUGGGGCUAAUACCGGAUAGGAGCUCCUGCUGCAUGGUGGUGGUUGGAAAGUUUCGGCGGUUGGGGAUGGACUCGCGGCUUAUCAGCUUGUUGGUGGGGUAGUGGCUUACCAAGGCUUUGACGGGUAGCCGGCCUGAGAGGGUGACCGGCGACAUUGGGACUGAGAUACGGACCAGACUCCUACGGGAGGCAGCAGUGGGGAAUAUUGCACAAUGGGCGGAAGCCUGAUGCAGAAACGCCGCGUGCGGGAUGACGGCCUUCGGGUUGUAAACCGCUUUCGCCUGUGACGAAGCGUGAGUGACGGUAAUGGGUAAAGAAGCACCGGCUAACUACGUG